CUCACCUCAUCCCCUAAACAUGCCCAAACACGUGUACGAACAUCCUAGCAUUCUCCAAAGAAAUACACUUUAAAUACUAACAAUCCCGUAUUCUAUAAACCGACUUAGAUAAUUCAUCUAUCUGCUGAUAAAUAUACACACAAACCAGUAUACACACCCAAGAUGCACAGAAAUAUCUCCAGCAUAUCAUUUAUAAAUACCCAUAAAAACACUUCCCAAUCCCAAAUUAUCCCAAUCUAGUAUGAACCAGCUCCCACAUUGCCAAGUACUAACCAAUAACCAUAUCACAUACCUCUGAUACAUAUAAAUUCAACUCUCCCACUCUCCUGUAUAAAAAGAGAACCCCAUCUCUCUAUCAGACACACACAUACUAAAUUCCCAGAAUAUAUAACCCUAAUAACCACUUACUGCAAAACACAAGCACAUAGCUCCACAAAACCUACAUCUAAACUGCCACGCCCUUGAACGCACACACAAACUCAAUACUCAUGUAGUUCUCUACAUGCCCUAAAUAUACCCGCGAUUAACUAACACGCCACAAAUAUGCAAACAUGCCACCUCAUAUCCCCAAAUACACAUACAGUUCCACAAUACUGCCCGGCCCAGUUAUGACCUUCUUUAAUCUGCAAUCUCCACACAGACACAACCAACCCACACACGUGAAUACAUAUUAGAUUCUCACCAAUUAAAUACAUAUCAAAUUCCAAACUAAGAAUUCAUAUAAACACAUUUUCACAUACACAAAACCACCCCCACAAAUCUCACACCCUCCAAAAUCCAAAAUAAAUCUUCCUGACAUUCUCAAGUACACACUAACCCAACCACCCAAGAUACACACGUAUGUGCAGUAAAUUUUAGAUACAUGUGUAGCCUACAAUUUACAAAUAAUAUACCACUACUUUUUAUUUGUAAAUUCCACAUAAGUAAGCGAUUCUCAU
rnacentral:lncRNA from 10 species